rnacentral:rRNA from 1 species
UAGGGAAUCUUCGGCAAUGGGGGGAACCCUGACCGAGCAACGCCGCGUGAGUGAAGAAGGUUUUCGGAUCGUAAAGCUCUGUUGUUAAGGAAGAACGAGUGUGAGAAUGGAAAGUUCAUACUGUGACGGUACUUAACCAGAAAGGGACGGCUAACUACGUGCCAGCAGCCGCGGUAAUACGUAGGUCCCGAGCGUUGUCCGGAUUUAUUGGGCGUAAAGCGAGCGCAGGCGGUUAGAUAAGUCUGAAGUUAAAGGCAGUGGCUCAACCAUUGUAGGCUUUGGAAACUGUUUAACUUGAGUGCAGAAGGGGAGAGUGGAAUUCCAUGUGUGACGGUGAAAUGCGUAGAUGUAUGGAGGAACACCGGUGGCGAAAGCGGCUCUCUGGUCUGUAACUGACGCUGAGGCUCGAAAGCGUGGGGAGCGAACAGG